rnacentral:rRNA from 1 species
GACGAACGCUGGCGGCGUGCCUAAUACAUGCAGGUAGAACGCACAGUUUAUACCGUAGCUUGCUACACCAUAGACUGUGAGUUGCGAACGGGUGAGUAACGCGUAGGUAACCUGCCUGGUAGCGGGGGAUAACUAUUGGAAACGAUAGCUAAUACCGCAUAAUAUUAAUUAUUGCAUGAUAAUUAAUUGAAAGGUGCAAUUGCACCACUACCAGAUGGACCUGCGUUGUAUUAGCUAGUAGGUGAGGUAACGGCUCACCUAGGCGACGAUACAUAGCCGACCUGAGAGGGUGAUCGGCCACACUGGGACUGAGACACGGCCCAGACUCCUACGGGAGGCAGCAGUAGGGAAUCUUCGGCAAUGGACGAAAGUCUGACCGAGCAACGCCGCGUGAGUGAAGAAGGUUUUCGGAUCGUAAAGCUCUGUUGUAAGAGAAGAACGGGUGUGAGAGUGGAAAGUUCACACUGUGACGGUAUCUUACGAGAAAGGGACGGCUAACUACGUG